UUAAGCGACUAAGCGUACACGGUGGAUGCCCUGGCAGUCAGAGGCGAUGAAGGACGUGCUAAUCUGCGAUAAGCGUCGGUAAGGUGAUAUGAACCGUUAUAACCGGCGAUUUCCGAAUGGGGAAACCCAGUGUGUUUCGACACACUAUCAUUAACUGAAUCCAUAGGUUAAUGAGGCGAACCGGGGGAACUGAAACAUCUAAGUACCCCGAGGAAAAGAAAUCAACCGAGAUUCCCCCAGUAGCGGCGAGCGAACGGGGAGCAGCCCAGAGCCUGAAUCAGUGUGUGUGUUAGUGGAAGCGUCUGGAAAGGCGCGCGAUACAGGGUGACAGCCCCGUACACAAAAAUGCACAUGCUGUGAGCUCGAUGAGUAGGGCGGGACACGUGGUAUCCUGUCUGAAUAUGGGGGGACCAUCCUCCAAGGCUAAAUACUCCUGACUGACCGAUAGUGAACCAGUACCGUGAGGGAAAGGCGAAAAGAACCCCGGCGAGGGGAGUGAAAAAGAACCUGAAACCGUGUACGUACAAGCAGUGGGAGCACGCUUAGGCGUGUGACUGCGUACCUUUUGUAUAAUGGGUCAGCGACUUAUAUUCUGUAGCAAGGUUAACCGAAUAGGGGAGCCGAAGGGAAACCGAGUCUUAACUGGGCGUUAAGUUGCAGGGUAUAGACCCGAAACCCGGUGAUCUAGCCAUGGGCAGGUUGAAGGUUGGGUAACACUAACUGGAGGACCGAACCGACUAAUGUUGAAAAAUUAGCGGAUGACUUGUGGCUGGGGGUGAAAGGCCAAUCAAACCGGGAGAUAGCUGGUUCUCCCCGAAAGCUAUUUAGGUAGCGCCUCGUGAACUCAUCUCCGGGGGUAGAGCACUGUUUCGGCAAGGGGGUCAUCCCGACUUACCAACCCGAUGCAAACUGCGAAUACCGGAGAAUGUUAUCACGGGAGACACACGGCGGGUGCUAACGUCCGUCGUGAAGAGGGAAACAACCCAGACCGCCAGCUAAGGUCCCAAAGUCAUGGUUAAGUGGGAAACGAUGUGGGAAGGCCCAGACAGCCAGGAUGUUGGCUUAGAAGCAGCCAUCAUUUAAAGAAAGCGUAAUAGCUCACUGGUCGAGUCGGCCUGCGCGGAAGAUGUAACGGGGCUAAACCAUGCACCGAAGCUGCGGCAGCGACGCUUAUGCGUUGUUGGGUAGGGGAGCGUUCUGUAAGCCUGUGAAGGUGUGCUGUGAGGCAUGCUGGAGGUAUCAGAAGUGCGAAUGCUGACAUAAGUAACGAUAAAGCGGGUGAAAAGCCCGCUCGCCGGAAGACCAAGGGUUCCUGUCCAACGUUAAUCGGGGCAGGGUGAGUCGACCCCUAAGGCGAGGCCGAAAGGCGUAGUCGAUGGGAAACAGGUUAAUAUUCCUGUACUUGGUGUUACUGCGAAGGGGGGACGGAGAAGGCUAUGUUGGCCGGGCGACGGUUGUCCCGGUUUAAGCGUGUAGGCUGGUUUUCCAGGCAAAUCCGGAAAAUCAAGGCUGAGGCGUGAUGACGAGGCACUACGGUGCUGAAGCAACAAAUGCCCUGCUUCCAGGAAAAGCCUCUAAGCAUCAGGUAACAUCAAAUCGUACCCCAAACCGACACAGGUGGUCAGGUAGAGAAUACCAAGGCGCUUGAGAGAACUCGGGUGAAGGAACUAGGCAAAAUGGUGCCGUAACUUCGGGAGAAGGCACGCUGAUAUGUAGGUGAAGUCCCUUGCGGAUGGAGCUGAAAUCAGUCGAAGAUACCAGCUGGCUGCAACUGUUUAUUAAAAACACAGCACUGUGCAAACACGAAAGUGGACGUAUACGGUGUGACGCCUGCCCGGUGCCGGAAGGUUAAUUGAUGGGGUCAGCGCAAGCGAAGCUCUUGAUCGAAGCCCCGGUAAACGGCGGCCGUAACUAUAACGGUCCUAAGGUAGCGAAAUUCCUUGUCGGGUAAGUUCCGACCUGCACGAAUGGCGUAAUGAUGGCCAGGCUGUCUCCACCCGAGACUCAGUGAAAUUGAACUCGCUGUGAAGAUGCAGUGUACCCGCGGCAAGACGGAAAGACCCCGUGAACCUUUACUAUAGCUUGACACUGAACAUUGAGCCUUGAUGUGUAGGAUAGGUGGGAGGCUUUGAAGUGUGGACGCCAGUCUGCAUGGAGCCGACCUUGAAAUACCACCCUUUAAUGUUUGAUGUUCUAACGUUGACCCGUAAUCCGGGUUGCGGACAGUGUCUGGUGGGUAGUUUGACUGGGGCGGUCUCCUCCUAAAGAGUAACGGAGGAGCACGAAGGUUGGCUAAUCCUGGUCGGACAUCAGGAGGUUAGUGCAAUGGCAUAAGCCAGCUUGACUGCGAGCGUGACGGCGCGAGCAGGUGCGAAAGCAGGUCAUAGUGAUCCGGUGGUUCUGAAUGGAAGGGCCAUCGCUCAACGGAUAAAAGGUACUCCGGGGAUAACAGGCUGAUACCGCCCAAGAGUUCAUAUCGACGGCGGUGUUUGGCACCUCGAUGUCGGCUCAUCACAUCCUGGGGCUGAAGUAGGUCCCAAGGGUAUGGCUGUUCGCCAUUUAAAGUGGUACGCGAGCUGGGUUUAGAACGUCGUGAGACAGUUCGGUCCCUAUCUGCCGUGGGCGCUGGAGAACUGAGGGGGGCUGCUCCUAGUACGAGAGGACCGGAGUGGACGCAUCACUGGUGUUCGGGUUGUCAUGCCAAUGGCACUGCCCGGUAGCUAAAUGCGGAAGAGAUAAGUGCUGAAAGCAUCUAAGCACGAAACUUGCCCCGAGAUGAGUUCUCCCUGACUCCUUGAGAGUCCUGAAGGAACGUUGAAGACGACGACGUUGAUAGGCCGGGUGUGUAAGCGCAGCGAUGCGUUGAGCUAACCGGUACUAAUGAACCGUGAGGCUUAACCUU
rnacentral:rRNA from 1 species